GACGGAGGUCCCUAGCGUUGUUCGGAAUUAUUGGGCUUAAAGCGCGUGUAGGCGGAGCGGUAAGUACCUUGUGAAAUCCCCGGUCUCAACCCGGGAACUGCUUGGUAUACUGCCGUUCUCGAGGCAGGUAGGGGUCACUGGAACCUUAGGUGGAGCGGUGAAAUGCGUAGAUAUCUAAGGGAACGCCUGUGGCGAAAGCGGGUGACUGGGCCUGUCCUGACGCUGAGACGCGAAAGCGUAGGGAG
rnacentral:rRNA from 1 species